UUAUUUAAAACAAGGUAAAGAGAAGAGAUACGGCACACACAGACACAGGUGACUUUUGUUUUUUCAAUUACUCUGAAGCGUACCAGUUAUACAUUGUUACCACUUCACCUUAUCCUUUGCCUCUGAGUGAAUCUCCAUAGUCCUUUUAUCAUGUAGACGGUAAUCACCUCCCUUUUUGUGUCCACUGCUGGGGUCAGAAUUACCAGUGGGCUCACGUAACAAAGGCAGUUUGGAGUCACUGAGCUAAUACAAUGGUUACUUAGGGAAAGGGGAGCCCCCUGAGAGCUUCAGCCUUUCUCACCUUAGUCAACAGAAAGGAUUACUUUCCUAGAGUUGUUAAUUAUCAGCUUGAAAGCCUAGAAGACUUCAUAGGGAUUCCUGGGAGCAGUCAAAAGGCAUAGAGAGCACCUGAGCAGUUGUAGGAGAGCCCGCACCCAGGGAUGCAGGGGAGGCACUGUGGAUGAAGUACGCCGCCUCCAGCCUCCACCGUGGACUUACCACUUCUCCUCUUCUACUUGCACUCCCACGGACUGGAACUUACUGGACGUCUUACUCUCUGCCAUUUUCUCUGACUCUUCGGCGUCGUCCACCUGAAGGAAUCAAGCAAACAGAGUUGUUUCCAUUGUCUCACUGGAAAAGCGGAGGUGCUCUCCCCUCAGGCCUCUGGGAUGUGAUGUGACUGUUCUGUGACUUACAACCUCUUCGAUCCACAUUUGUGCAUCUGAUAGCAGCAAUUACUACAUUCUUAGCAUGCUCUUGGGUUCUGCUAAUAUUUUCUAGGAACAUUUUUUUUAGUAUGUGUGUGUUCACCCGAGUAUAUAUAUGCGUACCAUAUGUGUGCAUGGGGAGACCAGAAGAGGGCAGUAGACCCCCUGAAAGCUGGAGUUACAGGCAGUUGUGAACCACUAUGUCCCUGCUGGAUCUGAGCCCCGGUCCUCUGCCAAAGCAGAAGUUGUGCUCUUAACCACCUAGCUAUCUCUCUAGCCACUGACUCUGAUUACUUUAAUAAAACACAGUUUUAUUUACUUCCAAAGCUGACAAAUGUCUACGAUUCCUCCACAGAUUUAUAAGCACAGUCAUUCCUUGGUCUCCACAGGAACUGGUUCUAGGACCACCAUAGAUAUCCACAUUCAAGAAUGCUCAGAAUCUUACAGUAAUAGCAUAGUGCCUACCCAUUACUACAUCCAUCCUCCUUGUCCACAGCCACCGCUAGAGCAUUUCCAUUUCAUAGUAUUUAUACGAUAUGCAGAGUUGCAGACUGGACACUUAAGAAAACAAGGAGUCUUAUCAUCGUAUUCAUAUACAUAUAUAUAUGUGUGUGUGUUUUGGGGGCUAGAGAGAGAUAGCUCUGAGGUUAGGAACAUUUCCAGCACAUAGUGGCUCACAACUGCCUUUAACUCCAGUUCCAAGGCAUCCAACAUCCUUUUUUUGCAGGCUUCUAUGUAAACAUGGUACACAUACAUGCACUCAGGUACAGUCACAUAUACACACAUAGAAUAAGUAAAUAAAAUCUAAACAGU